UCCACCGCUGUCCAGCAAAUCCGGUGUUGACUCGGAAGGUCAGUGGAGACGGAGGGAGUUGAGAGAUGUGGGAUCUGCUUUGGAGGCAGAGACAACAGAAUGGGAGAAAGGAAUCCAGGAUGACGCCGACGUCUUGGGGAGGCGCUGCUGAGGAGUGUGAGUGAGGUCCCGCCUGACCCCAGCUAGUGGGCUGCUGCCUUCUUCUGGCUUCCGUCUUAAGGAACAGGAUCCUGGGACGCGUUGUGUGCAGUCUGCUCUGAGACGCUGACCAGCAGGAGCGGCACUCUGACAGGUAAGGGCAUCUCGGCGCUACCUAAAACAGCUAACAAGCCCUAGCUCACCGUCUCAUCAUACUUGGGAACACACUUCUCUACCAGCCUCACUUGUGCAAACAAAAGGCUGGCUGUAAGUUAUCUCUGAGUUCUUUGAUUCAUUCUCUUUCCCCUUCUCUUAGAUUUUCAAUUCUAACUCUAUGACUUCUGACUGAAAUAAUGAAUUGUAACCAGUGACUUUCAUGUCACUGACUGAGCACUAAGUUACUCUUCCUCCUUCAAACAAGAUUCUGGGGGUGGGUUGAUCCAGAACGGUGGCUCUCAACCAGAGGCAAUCCAAACCUGGCCAGUGACGAUCCCCCCUUCUAGGGGACAUGUGAUGUGGCAGCAGGGUAGGAGGAGGGAAAGCUGCUUGUCAUGACU
rnacentral:lncRNA from 1 species